CCUACGGGAGACUGCAGUGGGGAAUAUUGCGCCAUGGGCGAAAGCCUGACGCAGCGACGCCGCGUGAGGGAUGAAGGUCUUCGGAUCGUAAACCUCUGUCAGCAGGGAAGAACGGUCACUGUGCUAAUCAGCAGUGAAUUGACGGUACCUGCACAGCAAGCACCGGCUAACUCCGUGCCAGAAGCCGCGGUAAUACGGAGGGUGCGAGCGUUAAUCGGAAUUACUGGGCGUAAAGCGCUCGUAGGCGGUAUGUCAAGUCAAGGGUGAAAUCCCCGCGCUCAACGUGGGAACUGCCUUUGAAACUGGCAAACUGGAGUUUGUGAGAGGAUAGGGGAAUUCCAGGUGUAGGAGUGAAAUCCGUAGAUAUCUGGAGGAACAUCAGUGGCGAAGGCGACUAUCUGGCACAUAACUGACGCUGAGGAGCGAAAGCGUGGGUAGCAAACAGGAUUAGAUACCCUAGUAGUC
rnacentral:rRNA from 1 species